rnacentral:rRNA from 1 species
AUUGAACGCUGGCGGCAUGCCUUACACAUGCAAGUCGAACGGUAACAGGUUAAGCUGACGAGUGGCGAACGGGUGAGUAAUAUAUCGGAACGUGCCCAAUCGUGGGGGAUAACGCAGCGAAAGUUGCGCUAAUACCGCAUAAGAUCUACGGAUGAAAGCGGGGGAUCGCAAGACCUCGCGCGAGUGGAGCGGCCGAUAUCAGAUUAGCUAGUUGGUGGGGUAAAGGCCCACCAAGGCGACGAUCUGUAGCUGGUCUGAGAGGACGACCAGCCACACUGGGACUGAGACACGGCCCAGACUCCUACGGGAGGCAGCAGUGGGGAAUUUUGGACAAUGGGCGCAAGCCUGAUCCAGCAAUGCCGCGUGCAGGAUGAAGGCCUUCGGGUUGUAAACUGCUUUUGUACGGAGCGAAAAAGCUCUCUCUAAUACAGAGGGCUCAUGACGGUACCGUAAGAAUAAGCACCGGCUAACUACGUGCCAGCCGCCGCGGUAA